rnacentral:tRNA from 1 species
GUCUCUGUGGCGCAAUUGGUCAGCGCGUUCGACUGUUACCGAAAGGUUGCUCGUUCAAGCCCACCCAGGGACG